rnacentral:ncRNA from 1 species
CAAAAAGCUGUGAAGAGGGCUAGUAGACACUGAAACGACUGACCAGAGAUCGGGGGUAGGUGGAAACCCCGUCUGUACGCCAGUGUUGAAUGGGCCUUGGAGCUGUCGGGCGAAAGGUACAUCCUUCUCGGGGUUUAUUGGGGUGAUCGAGUAGCUCAGACCGGGGUUGCCUCCGUUAUCAUGGCGAUGGGCAACGCGCAUUGAUCGCAAUGCUCAAUUAAAGUGAGGCUGGCUCAUCACUCCCUGUUUCUUCUCCGACAGGGUACUGUCAUAAGACAGCCUAAGCGGGGUGGUACCGCGGGUCCUUUUUCACUCGUCCCCAGU